rnacentral:misc_RNA from 1 species
ACACCGACUCGCCAGCCAGC